rnacentral:rRNA from 1 species
AACUAACAGGAUUCCCCUAGUAACGGCGAGUGAACAGGGAAGAGCUCAAAUUUGAAAUCUGGCGUCCUUCGGGCGUCCGAGUUGUAAUCUAUAGAAGCGUUUUCCGUGCCGGACCAUGUCCAAGUCCCUUGGAACAGGGUAUCAAAGAGGGUGACAAUCCCGUACUUGACAUGACGACCGGUGCUCUGUGAUACGUUCUCUACGAGUCGAGUUGUUUGGGAAUGCAGCUCAAAAUGGGUGGUGAGUUCCAUCUAAAGCUAAAUAUUGGCGAGAGACCGAUAGCGAACAAGUACCGUGAGGGAAAGAUGAAAAGCACUUUGGAAAGAGAGUUAAACAGUACGUGAAAUUGUUGAAAGGGAAACGAUUGAAGUCAGUCGUGUCCGAGGGGUUCAGCGGGUCCUGCCCGUGUAUUCCCCUCGGACGGGUCAACGUCAGUUUGAUCCGGUGGAAAAGGGCGGUGAGAAGGUACGGCUCCGGCCGUGUUAUAGCUCGCCGUCGCACACGCUGGGUCAGACUGAGGAAUGCAGCUCGCCUUCAUGGCCGGGGUUCGCCCACGUACGAGCUUAGGAUGUUGACAUAAUGCUUAACAG